AUUCCUCCAAAAAUUCUCUCUUUCGAAGCUCAGCUAUGGUGAAUUCAAAAUCAAUCCACGGAGAUCCAACGGUUCAAAAUACCUCAUCUUUCACAAGUUCAGGUAGUGCAGGAGUUUGUAUGAUGAACAGCAAAUGGAGAGAUGAACAACACCCUUCUUUUAUCAAUUUUAUCUCUUCCUUCCUAGCUGCUAAUUCCUUUCGUCUCAACUUUGUCCCGAUUUCUCCCGAUUGCAUUUUCAACUGUGGGGGAUUGUCAGUGGCA
rnacentral:misc_RNA from 1 species